rnacentral:rRNA from 1 species
GACGAACGCUGGCGGCGUGCCUAAUACAUGCAAGUCGAACGCAGUGGGGACGGGUGAGUAACACGUGGGUAACCUCCCAUCAGAGGGGAUAACACUUGGAAACAGGUGCUAAACCGAUACUGAUGGAUGGACCCGCGGGGCAUUAGCUAGUGGGUGAGGUAACGGCCCACCAAGGCCACGAUGCAUAGCCGACCUGGGAGGAGGACCGGCCAAACUGGGACAGAGUCACGGCCCAGACUCCUACGGGAGGCAGCAGUAGGGAAUCUUCGGCAAUGGACGAAAGUCUGACCGAGCAACGACGCGUGAGUGAAGAAGGUUUUCGGAUCGUAAAGCUCUGUUGUUAGAGAAGCGGUAUCUAACCAGAAAGCCACGGCUAACUACGUGCCAGCAGCCGCGGUAAUAC